CAAACGACAAAUUAGUAAUUGAAAUUUGAAGUUCAAGUUAAGUGAGCUCACUCCAGAGACUAAGACAAGCUUUUGGUCUUUGCACAUUGUCACGCACAAAGCCCAAAAACCUAUGGGAUAGAGGGCCAACUCUUUUAAGUCGAAUACUUUUCAAGUCCAACAGUUCAGUUAAUACCUAUGGACACUUGUGUUAAAUAAGAAUGAUUUCUCUUCGUGAAGGCCCAACAAGAGUUAGAUAAAAAUGUCACGCAUUGAUUAGCUAAGCAAAACGGUAAAACAACAACCCCUCAACGGGACAGCGACAGCGGAAAAGGGUUGGAAACUAUAAGGCUAGGCUACAGCAGGGCAGCUGGGGCAAGCUGGAAGCCAUCCAUCAUUUGCAUAAAACUGAAGCUGAAGCAUUUAGGGCACGGGACUGAGAGAUGCAGGCUGACAACUGCAAAGCACUCGGAGUUCUUCUAUUACCAACAUCCGCACGCACACACACAUAAAUCAACUGCUGUGCCCAGUUACAGUUACAUUUAUGUAGUGUGUAAUAUGGGAUUGAAGCUGGAUUUAUGUUCCAUAAGCUUAGGCGUGAGUAUUCUAGCAUAUGUCGUUUGCAUACAUUUUAAAUGGCACGAAUAAAAACUCAAUCCAGACCUAAUGGAUUGUUUAAAAAUAUGA